GAAAUGCGAUAAGUAGUGUGAAUUGCAGAAUUCAGUGAAUCAUCGAAUCUUUGAACGCACAUUGCGCCCCUUGGUAUUCCAUGGGGCAUGCCUGUUCGAGCGUCAUUUGUACCUUCAAGCUUUGCUUGGUGUUGGGUGUUUGUCUCGCCUCUGCGUGUAGACUCGCCUCAAAACAAUUGGCAGCCGGCGUAUUGAUUUCGGAGCGCAGUACAUCUCGCGCUUUGCACUCAUAACGACGACGUCCAAAAGUACAUUUUUACACUCUUGACCUUGGAUCAGGUAGGGAUACCCGCUGAACUUAAGC
rnacentral:misc_RNA from 1 species